CCCUUAGAUGUUCUGGGCUGCACGCGUGCUACACUGAUAUUGCCAAUAUGUCAUUCUUAUCCGAAAUGGAUUGGGUAAUCAAGUAAUGAAAUUUCAUGCUUGGAAUCGGUAAUUGCAAUUUUAUCGUGAACGAGGAAUUCCUAGUAAGCACUAGUCAUCAGCUAAUGUUGAUUAUGUCACUGCCCUUUGUACACACCGCCCGUCGCUACUACUGAUUGGGUGUUCAAGUGAGAUGCUUAGACCCUUGUUGCAUGGUUCAUUAUUGUGCUCCGAAAGGAAAAAGUUUCAAGCUUGAGUGUCUAGAGGAAGUAAAAGUCGUAACA
rnacentral:rRNA from 1 species